UGGGAAUUUUGGACAAUGGGGGAAACCCUGAUCCAGCCAUCCCGCGUGUGCGAUGAAGGCCUUCGGGUUGUAAAGCACUUUUGGCAGGAAAGAAACGUCAUGGGUUAAUACCCCGUGAAACUGACGGUACCUGCAGAAUAAGCACCGGCUAACUACGUGCCAGCAGCCGCGGUAAUACGUAGGGUGCAAGCGUUAAUCGGAAUUACUGGGCGUAAGCGUGCGCAGGCGGUUCGGAAAGAAAGAUGUGAAAUCCCAGAGCUCAACUUUGGAACUGCAUUUUUAACUACCGGGCUAGAGUGUGUCAGAGGGAGGUGGAAUUCCGCGUGUAGCAGUGAAAUGCGUAGAUAUGCGGAGGAACACCGAUGGCGAAGGCAGCCUCCUGGGAUAACACUGACGCUCAUGCACGAAAGCGUGGGGAGCAAACAGG
rnacentral:rRNA from 1 species